GUGGACGCCCGGCAGGGGCGGAUCCCCGGACGAGGCACGUCGUACCCGGCACCGACGACGACGUGAC
rnacentral:ncRNA from 1 species